UCUCGUUUAUAGGCAGCGGACCGAGUCGAUCGCAAUAUUAUAUAUAUACGUGUAUAGAGACACGCGGCUCGGCGCGAGCGCUCCAUGUACACUACCUUCUCUUUCCUGUGAGGCCCGUCAAGCGCGGCGUUGCUGCAUUACUCACACACACACACACACAAUACCGAACGCGCACACAUAUAGACACGGAGAUCUGCAUCUGUGUAUAUAUACCUUGCCUGUGCAGUGUAGGAGCCCGGGACCUUUUCGCUCUCGACGAGUGCGCGUACUUGGUGUGUCCGUGUGCUGCUAUACUACUGUGCGAGUGAGUGCGAGCUACCAAAAUGGCGGCAAUUUACUCCUACUACGAUCCCUUGUACUAUUGUUAUCGCCGUCUGCACUACGCCGGAUGCUGAGAAAGACUCUCACUGCUCACCGCAGUGAUAACAAUUUUCGUCCUCGUUUGUUCGUCGUCGUCGUCGUUGUUGUUGUUACUUGUUUGUUGUAUAAUAUAUCGAUGUAAUAUAUCUAGUGCUCGCGUGCGAGGUGAGAUAUACCAUUGGAAGCUCUGCAAUUAAAUCGUUAUAUGAAUCGAGCUGUGCGAGUGCGUGUGACAAUCCAAAAAACAAGCGGAAUAUAAAGCCUCUGUUGUUCGUGUGCCAUUAUCACAUAAAAAAAACGACGAGCCUGCUCGAUCAACGAGCAAAGGAAAAAAGAAGAAGAAAAAUCGGCUCUCGAGCUCUCGUCUGCAACGCGAGUGCAUCCAGCGAUUCGUCGUCGUACGCAGAGUGUGAAGAUCGUCUCGUAUUAUAUAUGCGUAUACGCGAGUGUAUGUGUACAUGUGUGCGGCUGAGUUAAUGCAUCGCUGAACACACCUCAAAAAGGGCCUCAACCGAAGGAACGAAUCUUGCCGGUCUCCAUGAUUCGAGGGGAAGCCAGCAAGUUCGUAGCAGUAGUAGUAGAAGAAGAAGAAGCAAGGGAGAAACAGAGGAAAAAGCUGCACGCGUGAGUCGGCGACUACAUCGCCGCUGAGUGAGCGAGAAAGAAGGAAAGAACGGGGCAAAAAACAAUCAUGGAUAAACAAGCGGUGACGAUGCUGCUAUUACUGUCGCUUUUGGCUUUCGCGACACACUUGAGCGAGGCUCACGUGGCGCUCACGUUCCCACGUGCUCGUACUUAUGAUCUCGAUUUUCUCGAUAGCGCCAGGACUCCGGGCCCCUGUGGAAUGCCAAAAGGUGACAUCAAGACUACUCUGCUGGCUGGCAGUAGUUUCAACAUUACUUGGCAUCUCGCCUAUCCACAUAAGGGAGGAUUCAGACUUCAUAUUUUAGAUGCAAUGGGUAGGCAAGCAGUCGACCUCACUCCACGCACCAAGGAAUCUGAUUUCAUUGAAAACGAUGCUACGGCCCAAAGUUAUGCAGUUGAGCUAUCUAAAAACUUUACGUGCACCGAUUGUACCAUUAGAUUGCUUCGCAAAGCCUCAGAGUGGGGAGACAAUUACAUGUUCUGGUCUUGCGCUGACAUUGAUAUUGUCGAGAAAAAGGUAUACAGAGAAACGUGCAGCAAUCACGGCCGUUUCAUUUCGAACCGCUGCAGAUGCGAACGACUGUAUCACGGACCUCGAUGCCAGUACAAGGAGGAAUGCUUGGAUAACGCGGACUGUGGCACGCAGGGUGUCUGCGUCACAAACGUGGCCACGACCUCGCCUGCCAACCACUGCUACUGCCAGGUGGGAUGGUUCGGACCGAACUGCUCGAAACGCUCGCCGGUAAAAAACAUCGACCUCGACCUGGACGCGUACUCGAUGCGACGAUUCUCCAGCGAUUUCACUUUCUAUUGGCGCAUACUCAAGGACACCCAAGAGUUCGAAGGUGUCGCCGUUGUGAACAGCACUACCUGGGUCGGUGUGGGCUGGCGCCCGAGCGACCUCACGAAGAGCUGUCGCGCCAUGCCGGCGAUUCAAGAUCGCAACGCAGCCAAGAAAAGUACUCCCGAGCCGUUGCCGCGACCGGAGCCCAAGAGCGAGCCCGAGCCCGAACCCGAGGCGCACCCCGAGCCGGAGCCCGAACCCGAGCCACACGCCGAGCCAGAGCCCGAGCCCGAACGAACUCAAGUCAGGUCGAAUAACAACAAGCGUUCGGCUAAGCACGAGGCAGUCGUAAACGAUGACGAUGUCACGGUCCAAACCAGCGUGACGUAUCACGUUAGCUCCAAGAAUGGUCGAAAGAAGAGAACGCCAGAGCCAGCGCAAAAACAAAAGACCGGGGAACCAGCCAGCGAGCCCGAACCUACCUCAGAGCCAGAACCUAUAUCCGAGCCAGAGCCAAAUUCCGAACCAGAACCUAGCUCAGAACCCGAACCCAAGUCCGAGCCUGAACCUACCUCGGAACCAGAACCUAAAUCCGAGCCAGAGCCUACGUCUGAACCAGAGCCUAAUUCUGAACCCGAACCAAGUUCAGAGCCAGAACCAAAAUCUGAGCCAGAGCCUACCUCGGAACCAGAACCUAAAUCCGAACCGGAGCCUAACGCAGAACCUGAACCCAACGCAGAGCCCGAACCUAACGCAGAACCAGAGCCCGAAUCCGAGCCCGAACCAAAAUCCGAACCUGAACCUGAACCUAAAUCCGAGCCCGAGCCUAAGUCUGAACCCGAACCCAAAUCGGAACCCGAACCUAAAUCUGAGCCAGAGCCCCAUUCGGGAGGGUCGAAACAGCAAACUAAGGCGAAACAAGGAUCGCCCAAAGAAUCGCUUGGCAAGUACACGCCGAAACAUGAUUUCCAUGCCAUGGACUGUACGGAUAUCGUGAUUGGCUCGGCUCGAGGCAUGGCGCAUCGAAUCGGAGAUUAUUACACGCGCGACAGGUCGACGCCACGUCUCGACUCGUUCUGGGGCGGUAAGGACAGUCUGACCGCUGCCAUGGGAUUCGAGCGAGACGGAGUCACGACAAUAUUAUUUAGGCGGAAACUUGCUGCCGACGAGCACUUCAGUGACCACGAAAUUGCCGACGCAACUAUGCAGGUAAUUUGGGCUAAAGGCCAAGAACCUGGCAAAUACAUUCACCAGCCACCGAGCGGUAUCGAGAAGAGUAAAGUUAGUGUCAAGGACUUUUACAAGACCGAUGAAUUAAAAUAUCACGGACACAGGUCUCAGCGAGGCAUUGCCAGCAUCAACUUUUUUGAGGAUGAGAGUGACAAGAAGAACAGUAGAGAGAAAGACCACGAUGAGUGCAGCGGCGAAUGGAAUUACCCGAAGCAGUGUUCGGUAGAAAAUUACACUUGCGAAUACAGCGUGAGAUGGGUCUACAAUUCGAAAAAGGAGGAGAUAUCGUUCACGAUAGUGACCAAGAACGUCGAUAACUGGACGGGCAUAGGUUUCUCGAAGGACGAAAAAAUGACGAAAACCGACGCCAUUCUUGGAUGGGUCGACAAAACGAGCGGCCGGCCAUUUAUAAGCGACACCUGGAUCGACAGCUACGGGGCUCCAACCCUCGAUUCAUCGCAAGACAUCUACAACACCAGUGGACGCAUCGAACACGGCCAAACGACCCUAAGAUUUACGAGAAAGAGAGUAACCAAAGACGAAAACCGUGACUUAUUCUUCACGGACGAGCAAUGUCUCUACUUGAUGUACCCCAUUAAAGGAGGUUCCUUCCAUCCUGUAAAUAAAAGAAUCGGCAAACAUCAAGAAACGCCGAUAGUGUCGACGCGAAAAUUGUGUUUCAAAUCAACGUCGGUGUGCAAUCUUGAUGAUAAUAAUGAAUUAGCCACACCAGUUCCGCCUACUAGGAUAUUCUACGAUUUCGAAGUCAGACUGACAAAUCUUGGAGUCGGAUACAAUGCUCCACCGCCAGGAACGGACAGUUUCCAGGACAUCUCAAAUACAAUUACCGAUAGUUUCACUCCAGCACUUCAGAAAGUCCCUGGUUUCCAUCAUCUGAAGCUUAGCGAAUUGAAAAACACUGGCGACGACGGCGUUAUCGCGAAAUUCCGCCUAGCCAUGGACAAGAUAAAGGGUCGCAAGAUAACGAUCCCUUCGGAAGACCAUACAGCUGACCGCGCCAAAGCCGUCUUAUCGAAGUCGCUCAGCAGUGGAAAAGUCGGUGCUCUCUCGGUCGACCCGAACUACCUGGUGCUCCGCUCCUAUCAAUCCGAUGCCAACGACUUGGAUAAGGAAGGAAGCGAGAAUACUCUCGCGUCUGGACUAUUGAUAGGCCCCACGAAGCUCUACAUCGUCAUCGGCUGCUUCGUGGCUCUUUUGCUUGUCGCUCUCCUUCAAGUUACCUGCACUAUUUACAAAACUUCGAAGAAGCGCACCACCAAGAGAAUCUACUCGCUGCCCCUGAUGACGACGGCCGCCGCGCCCGUGGCGGCGAAUCCGAUCCACCUGCGCGCGGGUGGCAACGGCACUAGUCACCGGCAGCGACCGGGUGCCAACGGCUACGACAAUCACGCCAUGAGCCAUCAUCAUCAUCAGCAGCACCUCCAUCAUCACCAGCAGCAGCAGCAGCAGCAGCAGCAGCAGCAACUGCAUCACCAGCAGCAGCUCUACUAUCAGCAACAGCAGCAGCAGCUGCACCUGCCGCCCAAUAUGCACAAUUGGUAGUCGAGCGAGAAAGAAAAACGAGCGCAAUUUUUCUCUCGGUUCCAAGAGCUUUUUGUCUUUUUCACAGGACCGACUAAUCGGUAAAAACGGCUGGGUGGAUUACUCGACCUCGGCAAACACUAAUUUCGCCUUCGAAGCCUUCGAAACGG
rnacentral:misc_RNA from 1 species